CCUACGGAGGGCUGCAGUGGGGGAUAUUGCACAAUGGGGGGAACCCUGAUGCAGCGACGCCGCGUGGGUGAAGAAGCGCCUCGGCGCGUAAAGCCCUGUCAGCAGGGAAGAAGAUGACGGUACCUGAAGCAGAAGCCCCGGCUAACUACGUGCCAGCAGCCGGGGUAAUACGUAGGGGGCAAGCGUUAUCCGGAUUUACUGGGUGUAAAGGGGGCGCAGACGGCGAUGCAAGCCAGGAGUGAAAGCCCGGGGCCCAACCCCGGGACUGCUCUUGGAACUGCGUGGCUGGAGUGCAGGAGGGGCAGGCGGAAUUCCUGGUGUAGCGGUGAAAUGCGUAGAUAUCAGGAGGAACACCGGUGGCGAAGGCGGCCUGCUGGACUGCAACUGACGUUGAGGCCCGAAAGCGUGGGGAGCAAACAGGAUUAGAUACCCUUGUAGUC
rnacentral:rRNA from 1 species